UACGGGGGGGGCAAGCGUUGUUCGGAAUUACUGGGCGUAAAGGGCGCGUAGGCGGCCAUCUAAGUCAGACGUGAAAUCCCCCGGCUUAACCUGGGAACUGCGUCUGAUACUGGAAGGCUCGAGUUUGGGAGAGGGAUGUGGAAUUCCAGGUGUAGCGGUGAAAUGCGUAGAUAUCUGGAGGAACACCGGUGGCGAAGGCGGCAUCCUGGACCAACACUGACGCUGAGGCGCGAAAGCUAGGGGAGCAAACGGG
rnacentral:rRNA from 1 species